CUGAGGACAAGAAAGGACUGCUUC
rnacentral:piRNA from 1 species